GAUUCAUCCUACGCCAGCCUGAAGGUAGGAAAGAUCGGUCGAGGGCCCUACCACAACCAGAGCCGCCAAGGAGAGAAGAGCAGCUUGAAGAUCGGCCUCCAAUCGGGAUCAUCAACACCAUCUCUGGAGGAUCCCGAUGAAGAGCAGCCAGUGGAUCGAUCGGACCACCCAAGCGAUAGAGGACUGAAGAAUCUAUAACCUUUAUUGAAGAAGAUGCCCAGGGUCAUGCCUUUUGGCGUCAAAAAUACAGGGGGUAACCUAUCAACGGCUGGUGAACAUAAUCUUCAAAGAGC
rnacentral:lncRNA from 1 species